UUGAGGAGGUCACUCGUUCACAGCCGCUCCUCCCAUUAUAUUUUUCCCCUUAUUGCAGAAUUGCUGUAUGUAUACAGUGACUGAAAGGACUCAAUUUACUGCAACUGCUGCUUGGCUUUCCUUACAACUUUUUUUAUAAAGGAACUUACCUCCAUCUGUCUUUUCAAGUUUCAGGGUAGAAAGGGUCCCUUUAACUCCUGGGGACAGUAAAUCACAGAUUGUGUGGUGGUUCUCAGAAGAUACUUAAAGGACUGAAUUGGAUGCUCUACAUAGCCCCCUUGCCAAAAGAGUUCGGAAAUGACUUCCAGCUUCCCACAGUAAUAAAAUGGCACUGUUUGGCAUCUUUAAGGUCACAGACCACUUACUCUAAACCUCACAACCAGUUCUGAAGAGUAUGGAGCCUACAUAGAUUCAUAAGG